rnacentral:sRNA from 1 species
AUCGGUUUUGAAACAGACAGCGUAUGCGAGCAGUUUUAAUAAAGCAGUUUUCAGUUUAAGCGUUAUCUUUGAUAUCUCUUCUUCGUGACUUCCUUCUUAAGUGCCUCAUAAGUACGGCCUGUUGACAAACCUCCAUGCCCGUUGCGGCCCAAUACUUUAUGAAGGAAAAAGACAUGUCUAACAAAAUGACUGGUUUAGUAAAAUGGUUCAACGCUGAGAAAGGUUUCGGCUUCAUCUCCCCAACUGACGGCAGCAAAGACGUUUUCGUACACUUUUCUGCUAUUCAGAAUGGCGGUUUCAAAACACUGGAAGAAGGUCAGAAAGUUGAAUUUACUAUCGAAAAUGGCCAGAAAGGCCCUGCAGCAGCGAACGUUACUGCACUGUAAGACAGAGAGUUUGCUGCAGCCAGAUAGCGACGUCGAGUGAAUAAAAACGGCCCCUAAGGGGCCGUUUUUAU